GAAAACUAAAAUUCGGGCUAAAAUGGGGAAAUACCAAGUUGUGGACGAAAUGGCAAAAGUAGCCAUUUUCGCAUACGAGUUUUGACAAGCCAGCUCGGAAAUCGGGAACGGUCGGAGGCUCGCUCACACUAUCCGUAUACCAUCUUGGCAUAAUGGCUUGUAUAUUUUGAGUAUGGCAUGUAUAGCAUUAUAAUCAUUUUGUAUAUAUGGUCUUAUGAUAUGGUUAUUGAGUGGUAUGGAAAUGCUUGGUAAUGAUUAGCCAUUGGAAUGGCUAAUCAUGAUCAUAUUUGGUGUUAUGUAUGUCAAAUUGCUAGCUAA